AUACGGAGGAUCCGAGCGUUAUCCGGAUUUAUUGGGUUUAAAGGGAGCGUAGGCGGCUGUUUAAGUCAGUUGUGAAAUCUUGCGGCUCAACCGUGAAAUUGCAAUUGAUACUGGUAGUCUUGAGUACAUUUGAUGUGGGCGGAAUGCGUGGUGUAGCGGUGAAAUGCUUAGAUAUUACAAAGAACACCGAUUGCGAAGGCAGCUCACAAGACUGUAACUGACGCUGAUGCACGAAAGUGUGGGGAUCAAACAGGAUUAGAUACCCUGGUAGUCCACGCCGUAAACGAUGAACACUCGCUGUAUGCGAUACACAGUAAGCGGCCAAGCGAAAGCAUUAAGUAAUCCACCUGGGGAGUACGAUCGCAAGGGUGA
rnacentral:rRNA from 1 species